AUGAUUGCCUUCAGGGAUGUUCUGGAAGUGUGUGAGCUUGUUGAUCUUGGCUUUAUAGGUGUACCAUACACAUACGAUAACAAGCGUGGUGGAUCGAACAAUGUACAAGUUUGCCUGGAUAGGGCCGUGGCGACAAAUGCAUGGAUGAAUCUAUAUGCUUUUUCUUCGGUUCUUCAUGUGGUUUCACCGUGUUCUGAUCAUGUGAUGCUCGUGGUGAAGGGUGAAGUGGAUACAUGGCCGGUUGGAGUUAAAAGUCGGCGUUAUGAGAUGUUCUGGGAAAGAGACGCUACACUACCUGAUGUGGUGAAAGAGGCAUGGGAUGUGGUUGGUGCUGUUGAGAACUUAGCCCAGCUGCGGGAUGCGCUCUCCAAAACGAUGGCUACCCUGAGUUCUUGGAGU
rnacentral:rRNA from 1 species